ACAGCCGCGGUGUCCUGGGACAGCGGCUCAGCCCCAGCGCUGGCUCGGGCUGCAAGUGUUCCUACUGCCACAGCCAUGAAUCUGGGGACUUCUGACAGCACUGCUGGCCUCAGUGCAUGAUGCUGGACAAGGAUUUGUGUACUGCUUGAGGACAAGGGGUACUCGGGUCCCCAGGGAAGACCGUCCUUGUAUCGCAGCCAUUUCUUCCAAGAGGCAAAGAGGCAAUGCAACUUGAUAGUUGUGUCAUCCUGUGAAAAGAGGUUCUCCUGUGAAAAGAAAUCCUCAAGCUGCCGCUACAAUGGAGAUGGUUUGUGGCUGAGGGUCAUGGAAUUACAGUGGCAGUGCAGUUAAUGGCUGGCUGAGUCUGCUGAGUGAACUUUUGGAGGGGCAGGAUUUCAUCCCCCUUCUAACCAGCAGUCCCUUCACAGGAGACUUCUGUGGCAGGUAAGAGCUUAUCUCUUUGCACAUUUAAAAUAACUUGUUGCUUAAUGCUGUUUGAUUCCUCUGUAUCCCUCCCGGUGGGUCUGCCCUGUUGUUUUUACUCUGUGGAGGCAGAGGAACACUUUAGCUAACUGUGAUGAGAUCAGAGAUGCAGCUAAAAAACAGUAACAGAAAGAUAAAAUCCCUUUACUUGACAUCUGCCAAAAA